UUGAAAGAACCAGGUGAAUACUGUUGCUGGCCUUUAACAAGGUAUGUGCACGUAUUUGCCGCUUUCAUUCCAUCCACCUGUGCAUUUUUUGUAGGAGUUCUUUUAGAUUGGCUUUAUAGGUUUCACAACCUUGCAGUUGGUUUAAAAGGCUUCUAUGUCUUUAUAAGCAAGUUAAGCAUGUUCUUGAAUGUUCUUUUAUUGGGACUUGAUUGACCCAUUAAAACUUUAUA
rnacentral:misc_RNA from 1 species